rnacentral:tRNA from 1 species
GUCACUUUGCCGGAGUGGUUAACGGGAUCACCUGCUAUUCGCAGAUUCAGUGGUUGUGCGUUGCACGCGAGUGUUCGAAUCGCUCAGGUGACG